rnacentral:lncRNA from 1 species
CUUGAAAUAUCCUACAAUCAAGGUUUUAAAAAUCGCUAGGCGCUAAUCGGGCGGCGGGCUGGGGCCUAGCGCCUAGGCGGGGCCUAGGCGGGAGCCUAGGCGGACUAGGCGGAUUUAAGUAAAUCUAUCAUAUUUCAAGUAAAUAAGUGUCUGCUUCUACUUGAAAUAUAUAUAAUUUCAUCAUAAACUACAAAACAGAAUGCAUAUAUAUCAUGAAGUAUUGGAACAUAAUGAAAACAUGUGAAAUAAGAAUAUAAUGUUUGUUCAUUCAAGUAUGCAACAAGUCUCUUACAAUUUAUUGGAAAAAAA